UUAUAUUCUUUACCAAUCUGUUUGUAUGGGAUUUUUGGUACUUCACUUGAAAAAUGAGUCCAAGGUACUGUGAUGUGAUUGUUUACUUUGUGUGGCCUUUCUAGCCAUGGUCUUAUAACAUCCACCCUGGUGCUUGGGCAGGACUGUGUGAUAGGGUAAUUGUGGCUCACCAAGAGGAUUGUUUAUUUUGCCUUCAAAGAGAACCAGUUCCAGAGCAAAGAGGAGGAUUCAACUCCCAUCAAGGAAGAACAGCCAAGAGCCGAGCGUAUAUUAUGGACCUGAGAUCCCUGCACUGAGAAGCUCCUAGAAGCAGGAGACUGAGAUAGAGAGAGGAAGCUGUAACCCUGAAGAUGCUUAAAUACAGACCAGAAGAGGAGUUUGGGGCUUGACACCUGACAUCUUAACACCAGUUCCUGUUUCUUGAGGAAGGAAGAGGUAAAAUAAAUCAGCGUUUGCUGUUUCCUUCUCCAUCCCCGGAAGUCCUGAUGAAGACCCUCUCAGGAGGGAAGAGGUAAAAAAGAAGGCAGUGUCUACUACGUCCUUUGCCAUGUGUGUCAGGAAAUCCUCACAAAGAGCCUCUCAGGUAAGGAGUGAUGGGAAAUGCCUUGGUUUACUCUUAAACUUUGCCCUUGAGGCAUUUUCUUUAUGGGGGCAUGUAAAAUGUUGUCCAUUCAAGGAAACACUGUAAUUCUUAUGUAGACUUUGUUUGUUGACAAGGAUUUAUUGCCAUAGCAAGGGUUCUGGAAAUGGGUUUAAUAUGCUGUGGGAUUGCUUUUGGAAGUUUGGAAAAGGCAACGGCCCACAUUCUAUGAAAUCGAAAUACCAGACCUACUGUGUCAGGUGUUGGAAGAGGGAAUAAAAGCCUCCAAUAUGUGGGCAUGUCUGAGUUAGUCUUCUAUAAGACCAUUUCUUGGAGGUCCUGAAGGACACCCAUUUCAUUAAAAGAAUAAGGAAUGUAGAGCUGAGGGGAGCACCAGCAACAUGGAGCUUACCAAUAUGUACCUUUGCAGGGGGUCCCUGGACGCCGCAAACAGUUAAGUGUUCUAUACUAGCUGAAAGUUUGGUGGUUUGAACCUACUCAAAAGCACCUCAGAAGACAGUCCUGACGAUCUGCUUUUAAAGGAUCACAGCCUUGAAAACCCUAUUGAACACUUCUACUAUGCCCACAUGGGGUGGUCAUGAGUCAGAAAUGACUUGAUGACAGCUAACAAGAACAAUUCUCUAUAGGCUCAGGUUUUAGUGGAGGCUGGGCUGCCAAGUAGCAAUGUAAAUCAUGGUAUCCCAGCUGAACAGAGGCCAGGUGGAAGUACUUAACUGUCAGAAACAAGUUGUGUGUAGAUUACCAUAAAGGUCAGUAGCUCAGAGUAUUAGUUAUCUAUUGGUGCAUAACAAAAUAUCCCCAAACUUAUCAGGUGUGAGAUAAAUGGAAAAAUAUUAAACCCAUUCUGAUAAAUUUGGAACUAGACAAAAAUUUUGGUAUUACUCAACAUAGUUUUUAGGUGAAGGAAUGAACUAGAAAAUUUAAAUAACUAGUACAAGUAUUAAAAGAUAUUUAAAAUAAUGAUGAUAUAAUUACAUACCUGCAUAAAAGACAAAUGCAUCAAAAUCAAUGGUUUCUCUCCAGUAUAGAAUAAGGGUCUAAAAUUGGCAAGGGUGGGAAGGGCAGACCGUUCUCUUUCCCCUACUACUUGACUGUACCACACUGUGUCCAAAACUGUAAAAUAUUUAGCAAAACAUUGUUUUAACCAGAGCAGCAAAGGACCUCUAUGAGGGAAGACAAUGUAUUAAAGUACAUAAAAUGAAACCUGAAUAUAUGCAAAAAUAUGCCAUAUUUUCAAAUGGAACG